rnacentral:rRNA from 1 species
GUGGAUUAGAUACCCUAGUAGUCCACGCCGUAAACGAUGAUCACUCGCUGUUGGCGAUACACAGUCAGCGGCUAAGCAAAAGCAUUAAGUGAUCCACCUGGGGAGUACGGCCGCAAGGCUGAAACUCAAAGGAAUUGACGGGGGCCCGCACAAGCGGAGGAACAUGUGGUUUAAUUCGAUGAUACGCGAGGAACCUUACCUGGGCUUAAAUGUAGAGUGCAUGGGGUAGAAAUAUCCCUUUCCUUCGGGACUCUUUGCAAGGUGCUGCACGGUCGUCGACAACU